GACGAACGCUGGCGGCGUGCUUAACACAUGCCAGUCGAACGCUGAAGCUCAGCUUGCUGGGUGGAUGAGUGGCGAACGGGUGAGUAACACGUGAGUAACCUGCCCUCUUCUUUGGGAUAACGCCCGGAAACGGGUGCUAAUACUGGAUAUUCACUGAUUCUCGCAUGGGGGUUGGUGGAAAGGUUUUUUCUGGUGGGGGAUGGGCUCGCGGCCUAUCAGCUUGUUGGUGGGGUGAUGGCCUACCAAGGCUUUGACGGGUAGCCGGCCUGAGAGGGUGACCGGUCACAUUGGGACUGAGAUACGGCCCAGACUCCUACGGGAGGCAGCAGUGGGGAAUAUUGCACAAUGGGCGAAAGCCUGAUGCAGCGACGCCGCGUGAGGGAUGGAGGCCUUCGGGUUGUAAACCUCUUUCGCUCAUGGUCAAGCCGCAGCUUUGGGUUGUGGUGAGGGUAGUGGGUAAAGAAGCGCCGGCUAACUACGUG
rnacentral:rRNA from 1 species